UACGUAGGUGGCGAACGUUAUUCGGAUUUACUGGGCGUAAAGCGGGUGUAGACGGCUGCUUAAGUCGAAUGUGAAAUCUCCUGACUCAAUCAGGAUAGGCCGUUCGAUACUGAGUGGCUUGAGGGCAUCAGAGGAAGACAGAAUUCCCGGUGUAGCGGUGAAAUGCGUAGAUAUCGGGAGGAAUACCAGUGGCGAAGGCGGUCUUCUAGGAUGUUCCUGACGUUGAGGCCCAAAAGCGUGGGGAGCAAAACGGAUUAGAUACCCGUGUAGUCCACGCCCUAAACGGUGGAUACUAGGUAUAGGGGGUAUCGACCCUCUCUGUGCCGAAGCUAACGCUUUAAGUAUCCCGCCUGGGGACUACGGCCGCAAGGCUA
rnacentral:rRNA from 1 species